rnacentral:rRNA from 1 species
UACAGAGGGGGGCAAGCGUUGUUCGGAAUGACUGGGCGUAAAGGGCGCGUAGGCGGCUCACACAGUCAGAUGUGAAAUUCCUGGGCUUAACCUGGGGGCUGCAUUUGAUACGUGUGGGCUUGAGUGGGGAAGAGGGUCGUGGAAUUCCCAGUGUAGAGGUGAAAUUCGUAGAUAUUGGGAAGAACACCGGUGGCGAAGGCGGCGACCUGGUCCUUGACUGACGCUGAGGCGCGAAAGCGUGGGGAGCAAACAGG